GAUGAACGCUGGCGGCGUGCCUAAUACAUGCAAGUCGAGCGAACAGACGAGGAGCUUGCUCCUCUGACGUUAGCGGCGGACGGGUGAGUAACACGUGGAUAACCUACCUAUAAGACUGGGAUAACUUCGGGAAACCGGAGCUAAUACCGGAUAACAUGUUGAACCGCAUGGUUCAACAGUGAAAGACGGUUUUGCUAUCACUUAUAGAUGGAUCCGCGCCGCAUUAGCUAGUUGGUAAGGUAACGGCUUACCAAGGCAACGAUGCGUAGCCGACCUGAGAGGGUGAUCCGCCACACUGGAACUGAGACACGGUCCAGACUCCUACGGGAGGCAGCAGUAGGGAAUCUUCCGCAAUGGGCGAAAGCCUGACGGAGCAACGCCGCGUGAGUGAAGAAGGUCUUCGGAUCGUAAAACUCUGUUAUUAGGGAAGAACAAAUGUGUAAGUAACUAUGCACGUCUUGACGGUACCUAAUCAGAAAGCCACGGCUAACUACGUG
rnacentral:rRNA from 1 species